UGGCUCUGGUCUGGUGGCGGUUGACCUUUUUAUCCGGCGCCUGGUUCUUCUUUUCUGGCGGUGGCUAGCGACUAGUGUUUGGGUUCCCAUGCGAUGCGAAGUAUUCAUCGUUAUUGAUCUCAUUUGUCUGAUCGGGACUAAAGAGAAAAUUAAUCUAAACCGUUUAUCCCGAUUGAUCUCAUCGGUCCGAUCGCACCUAAAAAGGGAACGAAUCUGAGCUGUCCAUGCGCGCGGGAUCGAUCUUAAAUCGUCUGAUACUAGGCACGCGGAUCGCCAGCGUGGCCUCCUGUGUGGCACUGAUGUCAGCGUGUCUUGCCA
rnacentral:lncRNA from 1 species